GUCCACGGCCAUACUGCCCCGAACACACCCUAUCUUGUCUGACCUUGGAAGAUGAGCAGGGCUAAGCCUGGUUAGUACUUGGAUGGGAGAAAUAUUAUAGGGACGCCUUCGGGGAGGCUGUCUGGGGCAUGAGGCUC
rnacentral:rRNA from 1 species